CAUGGCUCAGAUUGAACGCGGGCGGCAGGCUUAACACAUGCAAGUCGAGCGGUAGCACAAGGGAGCUUGCUCCCUGGGUGACGAGCGGCGGACGGGUGAGUAAUGUCUGGGAAACUGCCUGAUGGAGGGGGAUAACUACUGGAAACGGUAGCUAAUACCGCAUAACGUCGCAAGACCAAAGAGGGGGACCUUCGGGCCUCUUGCCAUCAGAUGUGCCCAGAUGGGAUUAGCUAGUAGGUGGGGUAAUGGCUCACCUAGGCGACGAUCCCUAGCUGGUCUGAGAGGAUGACCAGCCACACUGGAACUGAGACACGGUCCAGACUCCUACGGGAGGCAGCAGUGGGGAAUAUUGCACAAUGGGCGCAAGCCUGAUGCAGCCAUGCCGCGUGUGUGAAGAAGGCCUUCGGGUUGUAAAGCACUUUCAGCGAGGAGGAAGGUGGUGAACUUAAUACGUUCAUCAAUUGACGUUACUCGCAGAAGAAGCACCGGCUAACUCCGUGCCAGCAGCCGCGGUAAUACGGAGGGUGCAAGCGUUAAUCGGAAUUACUGGGCGUAAAGCGCACGCAGGCGGUUUGUUAAGUCAGAUGUGAAAUCCCCGGGCUCAACCUGGGAACUUGCAUUUGAAACUGGCAAGCUAGAGUCUCGUAGAGGGGGGUAGAAUUCCAGGUGUAGCGGUGAAAUGCGUAGAGAUCUGGAGGAAUACCGGUGGCGAAGGCGGCCCCCUGGACGAAGACUGACGCUCAGGUGCGAAAGCGU
rnacentral:rRNA from 1 species